rnacentral:lncRNA from 10 species
CUGAAAGAAGAGUUAGAUGUUAAUAGGUUAUGUUAUGCUUCCUUCAUUAACGGUUUAGAAUGAGAAAAUGAGACACAUCUAUGGAGAGGAGACUACGACCUUCAUUCCUUCCAGGGGAGGCUGACUGCAUCAUUCUGGGUGGUGAGCUUGGUGUUACUACAAUAAUUUAACAUCGAAGAGAAGCUCUCCAAGUGAUUCAAGGGCAUUCACACCUGUUCUUCCGAGAUGGGUAUUCCAAGGUGAUUUUCUUACACCUCCCGUGUAGAUAACUGUCUUCGAACUUUUGGGCACCUUCUUCCAUAAGUAUUUUGACGCAUUGGUCUUUGACAAUGCACUGUAGCAUCCUUUGAGGAUAGGGACUGUCUCCACUCUGUGGCCCAGAAACCUCAUUAGAAAAGCUUGGAGUCAGCUGGGCUCAGUGGCUCAUCCUGUAAUCCCAGCACUUUGGGAGGCUAAGGCAGGUGGAUUUCUUGAGCUCACAAGUUUGAGACCAGCCUGGGCAACAUGGCGAAAACCCAUCUCUACAAAAAAAUACAAAAAUUAGCUAAGCAUGGUGGCACUUGCCUGUAAUCCCA